rnacentral:rRNA from 1 species
GAUCAUGGCUCAGAUUGAACGCUGGCGGAAUGCUUUACACAUGCAAGUCGAACGGUAGAGGGGGCAACCCUCGAGAGUGGCGAACGGGUGAGUAAUAUAUCGGAACGUGCCCAGUCGUGGGGGAUAACGUAGCGAAAGUUACGCUAAUACCGCAUACGAUCUACGGAUGAAAGCGGGGGAUCGCAAGACCUCGCGCGAUUGGAGCGGCCGAUAUCAGAUUAGGUAGUUGGUGGGGUAAAGGCUCACCAAGCCAACGAUCUGUAGCUGGUCUGAGAGGACGACCAGCCACACUGGAACUGAGACACGGUCCAGACUCCUACGGGAGGCAGCAGUGGGGAAUUUUGGACAAUGGGCGCAAGCCUGAUCCAGCCAUUCCGCGUGCAGGACGAAGGCCUUCGGGUUGUAAACUGCUUUUGUACGGAACGAAAAAGUCUUGGCUAAUACCCAGGAUCCAUGACGGUACCGUAAGAAUAAGCACCGGCUAACUACGUG